rnacentral:rRNA from 1 species
GACGAACGCUGGCGGCGUGCUUAACACAUGCAAGUCGAACGGAAAGGCCCUGCUUUUGUGGGGUGCUCGAGUGGCGAACGGGUGAGUAACACGUGAGUAACCUGCCCUUGACUUUGGGAUAACUUCAGGAAACUGGGGCUAAUACCGGAUAGGAGCUCCUGCUGCAUGGUGGGGGUUGGAAAGUUUCGGCGGUUGGGGAUGGACUCGCGGCUUAUCGGCUUGUUGGUGGGGUAGUGGAUUACCAAGGCUUUGACGGGUAGCCGGCCUGAGAGGGUGACCGGCCACAUUGGGCCUGCGAUACGGCCCAGACUCCUACGGGAGGCAGCAGUGGGGAAUAUUGCACAAUGGGCGGAAGCCUGAUGCAGCAACCCCGCGUGCGGGAUGACGGCCUUCGGGUUGUAAACCGCUUUCGCCUGUGACGAAGCGUGAGUGACGGUAAUGGGUAAAGAAGCACCGGCUAACUACGUG